rnacentral:rRNA from 1 species
GUGGCCACAUCAUGUAGAAAGACCGAUUCCCCAUAGAUCACCGAAUUUAAGCAACGUCGAACCUGGGCAGUACCUAGAUGGGUGACCGCCUGGGAAUACCAGGUGCUAUAA